GAUGAACGCUGGCGGCGUGCCUAAUACAUGCAAGUCGAGCGAACGGACGAGAAGCUUGCUUCUCUGAUGUUAGCGGCGGACGGGUGAGUAGCACGUGGAUAACCUACCUAUAAGACUGGGAUAACUUCGGGAAACCGGAGCUAAUACCGGAUGAUAUUUUGAACCGCAUGGUUCAAAAGUGAAAGACGGUCUUGCUGUCACUUAUAGAUGGAUCCGCGCUGCAUUAGCUAGUUGGUAAGGUAACGGCUUACCAAGGCAACGAUGCAUAGCCGACCUGAGAGGGUGAUCAGCCACACUGGAACUGAGACACGGUCCAGACUCCUACGGGAGGCAGCAGUAGGGAAUCUUCCGCAAUGGGCGAAAGCCUGACGGAGCAACGCCGCGUGAGUGAUGAAGGUCUUCGGAUCGUAAAACUCUGUUAUUAGGGAAGAACAUAUGUGUAAGUAACUGUGCACAUCUUGACGGUACCUAAUCAGAAAGCCACGGCUAACUACGUG
rnacentral:rRNA from 1 species